AAUUUCGAUCCAUGUAAAGGUAUAAAUUCUUCCGACUGCUCUUGAGUGAGUAUACAACAGACACACCAGAAUAUAAAGGAACUUACCAGGCGACAAAUUUCGAUUCAGUCAUGAAACUUCUUCUAUUUGCAACCCUUGUAAUGGCUGCAUAUGUUGCAGCCAAGCCAGCGGAAUUUGAUGAAGAUAUGAAUAAAAGAGGGGAAUGGUCAACCUUGUCCAAAACCGUUAAUGGACGUGAGUUGCUAUUCGGCUGUGACAGAAGACACACAUAUUUGGACGAUGGAAAAUGUUGGUCUUAUUGUGGUGCAAGCUGGACGAGCGGAGAGUGGUGCUACACGAUGAGACAUGAUGGUAAGACGAAGGGUUGUUGGAAUGACAGCAAAUGUAAUCACUUCGUCGACAAAUGCCUUACUACUUGUUCUCUUUAAAAUCGUCCGAAGAAUUGAUCCACAGCAUUGCGAUUGGACCAAACAUGAUUAGUCUAAUAUUAUUUAUGUUAAAAUCAUGACAUGAAAAAUAAAAGAGUGCGUAA